CCUACGGGGUGCAGCAGUGGGGAAUAUUGCGCAAUGGGCGAAAGCCUGACGCAGCGACGCCGCGUGAGGGAUGAAGGUCUUCGGAUCGUAAACCUCUGUCAGCAGGGAAGAACGGUCACUGUGCUAAUCAGCAGUGAAUUGACGGUACCUGCAACGGAAGCACCGGCUAACUCCGUGCCAGCCGCCGCGGUAAUACGGAGGGUGCGAGCGUUAAUCGGAAUUACUGGGCGUAAAGCGAUCGUAGGCGGUAUGUCAAGGCAAGGGGGAAAUCCCCGGGCUGAACGUGGGAACUGCCUUUGAAACUGGCAAAGUGGAGUGUGUGAGAGGAUAGUGGAAGUCCAGGUGUAGGAGUGAAAUCCGUAGAUAUCUGGAGGAACAUCAGUGGCGAAGGCGACUAUCUGGCACAUAACUGACGCUGAGGAGCGAAAGCGUGGGUAGCAAACAGGAUUAGAUACCCGUGUAGUC
rnacentral:rRNA from 1 species